GAUCCUCAUGUUUUAGCCUUUUAUUCAGCAAGUAUCUGAUGAGUGUCUUCAAUGUUCCAGGCACCAUGCUGGUCUGUGGGAGGACACUUGGGGGAAGAAGAUGAGCAAGGCAGCUGGUCUUGUGCAGCAAAUCAGCAUUCUCAGGUCUAGGAUUCCUGGAUUGGCUUCUGAGAGGGAGGAGGCAGCUGCCACAGAGGAAGAACAGCACCAGGAGUUUUGAUUAAAAAUGGAAAGCAGAGAGUAGGUGAGUGGAUGCCUGGGGAGUGACCC
rnacentral:lncRNA from 1 species